rnacentral:rRNA from 1 species
UACGUAGGGUGCAAGCGUUGUCCGGAAUUAUUGGGCGUAAAGAGCUCGUAGGCGGUCUGUUGCGUCCGCUGUGAAAACCCGGGGCUUAACCCUGGGCUGGCAGUGGAUACGGACAGACUAGAGGUAGGUAGGGGAGAAUGGAAUUCCCGGUGUAGCGGUGAAAUGCGCAGAUAUCAGGAAGAACACCCGUGGCGAAGGCGGCUCUCUGGGACGGUACUGACGCUGAGACGCGAAAAGCGUGGGGAGCGAACAGG